rnacentral:rRNA from 1 species
UACAGAGGGUGCGAGCGUUGUUCGGAAUUACUGGGCGUAAAGGGCGCGUAGGCGGUUUGACAAGUCGAUUGUGAAAGCCCGGGGCUUAACCUCGGAAGUGCAGUCGAAACUGUCAGACUAGAGUGCAGUAGAGGAUGGUGGAAUACCCAGUGUAGAGGUGAAAUUCGUAGAUAUUGGGUGGAACACCGGUGGCGAAGGCGGCCAUCUGGGCUGCAACUGACGCUGAGGCGCGAAAGCGUGGGGAUCAAACAGG